rnacentral:lncRNA from 14 species
ACAGAGGACACGGAAGUAGAGUUGUGUCUGUGAGAGUUGCUGUGAUUAGGGCUCUCCUGGGAGACAGAGAACUAGAGAGAAGGAAGCCUUAGUCCUGGUACCACCUGGUGCCGAAGCCUGCUCAGACAACGAACUAUGCACCGGCUAAUUUCCAGAUUUCGUGCCAUCUUUCAAAGGAAAGCGGACCUGAAGGAGGCGAGGGAAGAGCAGCAGAGGCUCUUGGAAGAUGAUACCAUAUUACAAUACAAACAUCAAGUUAUGGCAGGGUCCUGUACUAACUAUGACUGGAUCCACUUCAGUACUGACGUCAUCGUGACUUGCGACAGCCCUCCGAAAGUUCAACAAAAACUUCCUGCAGCUGCAGAAGAACAAAGCACUCACGGAUUGAACUCGGUCACAGUGGAUGCUCUCUCCUAUGACCAUGAUGAACAACCAGCAGACUCUCACAUGAGAGUUUUGUUUGGCUGUGUGACAGGUGACACUGACUACAAUGAUCACGGAUUGUCCUUCUCUCUAGACAUUGCUUGUAAAGAUUUUCGGCCUUAUAAUGGUGACCUGGUAGAAAUUGAGUUUUCUGAUGAGCAAGACACACAGAACAGAAGGGCCAUCUUGGUGAAGCCUCUGAAACAUUGUCAUAUAAAUGAGGCCUGUGUUACAAAAAUGGAUGGAAGAACUGGGGUGUUGGAAAACGACAUCUUUUUCACCUUGGAUUCUCUUAAACUUCCUUCUGGAUAUGUGCCGCAGGCAGGUGACGUUGUCAAUGUGGUUGCAGUGCAGAGCAUUCAUCCCAACUAUUUCUGGAGAGCAGUUGCUAUGACCCCAGUACAAGUGUUGUAGGAACCAAACCUGU